rnacentral:tRNA from 1 species
GGAUAGCUCAGUCGGUAGAGCAGCGGAUUGAAAAUCCGCGUGUCGGCGGUUCAAAUCCGUCUCCGG